ensembl:lncRNA
UUUUUGGAUGGAGAUUGUGUUUCUCUUGAGCUGCUCGUGGUCAUCAGAAGAGCAUUAGGGUGCACAAACGGAACGGUGCGGCUCAGCUGGCCCUGAAAGUCCCUCUGAACGGCAACAUUUCCCGGCUGCCCAGAGGUGAUGGACCACCAUCCUCCCAUCCUCCCCCUCUGUGCCCCACAUCUGGGAAAUUCUGAAGUGUCCCAUAUUUCCCAUGGCCAAGCUGUAAUUACUGAGCCAUCAUGGGCCUUGCAAGGAGUGCAAAGGAGCUGGAGUCCUGCCAACCCCUCUAACUGCUGAGGCAACAAAUAAAGAAAACUCAGUGCUGGAGGGCCCCGCGACUAUCACUCAUAAACGUCCGCAUUUCAGAUCCCACUCUGUUUCUAAUUUGAUUCAAUUCCCUUUUGUUGCUUAAAAAUUCAAUUUGUUUAAUUGAGCUGUUUGACAGUAAAAUCUGAAUUCCAUGCAUUUUAACCAUUCAUAUUAAAUUUCCCUCCGCAUAGUACUUUUAUUAAUGCGCUUUAAAAGAGGUCACUUUAAUUUAAAUUUGGUGACCUUACAAGCUUAUAAAAAGAUCUAUAUGCUAUCCUUCUCCAACCGAAAUUAAAUUGAAUAAAUGGAAGAUAACGUUACAAUAGAUAUUUCCAACCGAGGGUUGGGGUUCUGCAGGAAGGAGAGCUGCACUGCAGUGCGAGCAUCGCUCGGCCUCUUUUCCAUGGGACGGCAGUGCUGGUGUGAGGAACUUCCUGCGAUGCAUCCAACCCCAUUCUGAUAGACCCCAUUACUGCAGCUGCAUCCCCAUGGGCCACUGCUCAAGAAGUGCCCUUUCCUUUGUGCCGCUCAUUGCUUUGUAUUUGUAAAGAGGGUUGCCUCGUUUCUGACAUUUAAAUAGCCGAGCAUCUUUUCCUUUAGGAUUAAUAAGAAACACUGGAACCGGAGCAAGACUUGAAGGUUUAGUAAACUUUAAUCUGUAAAAUUUAAUAGCAAUAUCCAAGUCAUUAUGAGUAGGUAGGAUGCCGUACGGCUUUACAAACACUUUUAAGCCGUGAGUUAUGUUACAAGAAUGGGUUUGCUGUGUAUCAUUAUGUCCAGGUAAAUGCCAGGAUGAUGACAUAAUUGGUAGUUGGGAGUAAAAUACAACCUCUGUAAAAUGUUACUAAGGUAAAUGUAGCGGGAUUGUAAUUCAUUAUACAUAAACAUGACUUGCAGUUAUUUAUCAUUUUAUGAAAUAUAGAAUAACCUGAGCUG